ACCCCACUGCUAUCGGGAUAGGACUAAGACAUGCUAGUCGAGUGAUUCAGGCAAAACGAGUCACGGCACACAGCUCAGUAACACGUGGCUAAUCUGCCCUUAGGACGAGAACAACCCCGGGAAACUGGGGCUAAUUCUCGAUAGGCGAAGAACUCUGGAAUGAGUCUUUACCUAAAUAGUGCAACGUUAUCCUCGUUGCACCGCCCAAGGAUGGGGCCGCGACCGAUCAGGUUGUUGGUGAGGUAAUGGCUCACCAAGCCUUUUACCGGUGCGGGCCGUGGGAGCGGGAGCCCGGAGAUGGGCACUGGGACAAGGGCCCAGGCCCUACGGGGCGCAGCAGUCGCGAAAACUUUGCAAUAAGCGAAAGCUUGACAGGGCUAUCCCGAGUGCCAUCCGCUGAGGAAGGCUUUUACCCAGUCUAGAACGCUGGGGGAAUAAGGAGAGGGCAAGUCUGGUGUCAGCCGCCGCGGUAAUACCAGCUCUCCGAGUGGUGUGGAUGUUUAUUGGGCCUAAAGCAUCCGUAGCUGGCUAGGUUAGUCCCCUGUUAAAUCCACCGAAUUAAUCGUUGGAUUGCGGGGGAUACUGCUUGGCUAGGGGACGAGAGAGGCAGACGGUAUUUCCGGGGUAGGGGUGAAAUCCUAUAAUCCCGGGAAGACCACCAGUGGCGAAKGCUGUCUGCUAGAACGCGCCCGACGGUGAGGGAUGAAAGCUGGGGGAGCGAACCGGAUUAGAUACCCGGGUAGUCCCAGCUGUAAACGAUGCAGACUAGGUGUUUGGACGGCCACGUGCCGUUCUAGUGCCGCAGGGAAGCUGUUAAGUCUGCCGCCUGGGGAGUACGAUCGCAAGAUUGAAACUUAAAGGAAU
rnacentral:rRNA from 1 species